rnacentral:rRNA from 1 species
AAAUUGAAGAGUUUGAUCAUGGCUCAGAUUGAACGCUGGCGGCAGGCCUAACACAUGCAAGUCGAACGGUAACAGGAAGCAGCUUGCUGCUUCGCUGACGAGUGGCGGACGGGUGAGUAAUGUCUGGGAAACUGCCUGAUGGAGGGGGAUAACUACUGGAAACGGUGGCUAAUACCGCAUAACGUCGCAAGACCAAAGAGGGGGACCUUCGGGCCUCUUGCCAUCAGAUGUGCCCAGAUGGGAUUAGCUUGUUGGUGAGGUAACGGCUCACCAAGGCGACGAUCCCUAGCUGGUCUGAGAGGAUGACCAGCCACACUGGAACUGAGACACGGUCCAGACUCCUACGGGAGGCAGCAGUGGGGAAUAUUGCACAAUGGGCGCAAGCCUGAUGCAGCCAUGCCGCGUGUAUGAAGAAGGCCUUCGGGUUGUAAAGUACUUUCAGCGGGGAGGAAGGUGUUGUGGUUAAUAACCGCAGCAAUUGACGUUACCCGCAGAAGAAGCACCGGCUAACUCCGUGCCAGCAGCCGCGGUAAUACGGAGGGUGCAAGCGUUAAUCGGAAUUACUGGGCGUAAAGCGCACGCAGGCGGUCUGUCAAGUCGGAUGUGAAAUCCCCGGGCUCAACCUGGGAACUGCAUUCGAAACUGGCAGGCUUGAGUCUUGUAGAGGGGGGUAGAAUUCCAGGUGUAGCGGUGAAAUGCGUAGAGAUCUGGAGGAAUACCGGUGGCGAAGGCGGCCCCCUGGACAAAGACUGACGCUCAGGUGCGAAAGCGUGGGGAGCAAACAGGAUUAGAUACCCUGGUAGUCCACGCCGUAAACGAUGUCUACUUGGAGGUUGUGCCCUUGAGGCGUGGCUUCCGGAGCUAACGCGUUAAGUAGACCGCCUGGGGAGUACGGCCGCAAGGUUAAAACUCAAAUGAAUUGACGGGGGCCCGCACAAGCGGUGGAGCAUGUGGUUUAAUUCGAUGCAACGCGAAGAACCUUACCUGGUCUUGACAUCCACAGAAGAAUCCAGAGAUGGAUUUGUGCCUUCGGGAACUGUGAGACAGGUGCUGCAUGGCUGUCGUCAGCUCGUGUUGUGAAAUGUUGGGUUAAGUCCCGCAACGAGCGCAACCCUUAUCCUUUGUUGCCAGCGGUUAGGCCGGGAACUCAAAGGAGACUGCCAGUGAUAAACUGGAGGAAGGUGGGGAUGACGUCAAGUCAUCAUGGCCCUUACGACCAGGGCUACACACGUGCUACAAUGGCGCAUACAAAGAGAAGCGACCUCGCGAGAGCAAGCGGACCUCAUAAAGUGCGUCGUAGUCCGGAUUGGAGUCUGCAACUCGACUCCAUGAAGUCGGAAUCGCUAGUAAUCGUGGAUCAGAAUGCCACGGUGAAUACGUUCCCGGGCCUUGUACACACCGCCCGUCACACCAUGGGAGUGGGUUGCAAAAGAAGUAGGUAGCUUAACCUUCGGGGAGGGCGCUUACCCACUUUUGUGAUUCAUGACUGGGGUGAAGUCGUAACAAGGUAACCGUAGGGGAACCUGCGGUUGGAUCACCUCCUUACCUU